rnacentral:lncRNA from 1 species
GGAAAAAAAUAUUGAUUCCUUUUUCUUACGUAAAAUAAAUAACGUAAUGAAACAAACUUUUAAUUUAUGUUUAUCUCUAAAAUAGAAAAAAAAUAAACUUUUCCAAAUUUAUGCCAACUGAAAGAUAUUUAUUGUGAAUCUAUAUUUUAAUGAAAAUUUUAUAUAAUUUUUUUUACUUCUAAAAUAGAAAAAAAAAAAUUCAUGCUUAUCCAAAUUUUUGCCAGAAUAUCUACUGUAAAUCUGUAUUUCAAUUCAAAAUAUAAAAUUAAUUUAAAAUUUAAAAUUUUGGGACUAUCUAUAUAUUAUAAUGGAAAUAAUUUAAAAGAUAGAUUGGUUGAUAAAUUUGUAAAUCAUAUUUUUGAAUUAAUAUGAUAUACAAAUUUAUGAUUAAUUUGUAAAAAAUUAUCUCAAAUAAGAACAAACGAUUAUGAUUAAUUUGUUAAAAAAAACAUUCAUACCAAUCUAUAAUUUCAAUUCUACGAACGAUUAUGAUCAAUUGGUUAAAAAUAUUGAAAAUAAAAAUGAACUAUUAUGUUCAAUCUGUUAAAAAGUAGCGCUUCUAUCCAUUUAUUUUACAUUAAAAUUUAAAUUUGAGUUUAAAUUGUGAAUUAAAUUAAAUUUUUAAUUUUUGAUAUCAAAUCUAUCCAUCUAUUUUAUAUUAAAAUUUAAAUUUGAUAUUGUAAAUAUUUUCUAAUAAAAUAUACCAUAUAAAUUUAGAAAAUAUUUUAUUUUAAAUUUUUGAAUAAAUAUGAUUUGUAAUUUUUUAUUGAUUUAAAAUAUAUUAAAAUAAUUAUUACGUGCAUUUGUACGUACACUCAACUAGUAUUAAUAAAAGCACGUAUUCAAAUUUCGGUCUGUCGACAGAUCAUUUUUUGGCGGAAAAAAAAAAUUAAUUCCUCUAUUUAUUACGUAAAAUAAAUAACAGAAUUAAACAAAUUUUUAAUACCUUUUUAUUCCACAACAGAAAAAAAUCCAAAUUUUUUGCCUACCGGAGAAUAUCUCCUUAUAUAUAUAUAUAUAUAUAUAUAUAUAUAUAUAUAUAUAUAUAUUAUCUCUAUUCUAUCUACUAAUAUUUUAUUAUUAUAUUAACUGUUUAAUUUUGAUACUUUUAGUUUAAAAUAUUUAUUUAAGUUUAAAAUUUAUUAGAAUUAAAAAAUAUAUAAUGUACUAUAUCUACACUAUAUAUAAAUUUAUCAGAAAAAUAUUUAAUGUAUAUCUAUAUCUACACUAUAUAUAAAUUUUAUAAAAUAAAAAAAACUAUAUAAUUAUUGUUGACAAAAUAGAUAGGUAUUUUCUAAUAGUAUAUAUAAAUAAAUUUACUUUUUAAAAAAUUAUAAAUUUUUUAAUAAAUAUGAUGUACAAUUCAUAUUAAUUUAAAAUAAUUAUUAAAUAAUUAAUUGUUAUGUGCAUUUAUACGUACAUUCAACUAGUAUAUAUAUAUAUAUAUAUGAUGUUUUUAACUUUGUAGGGUAUUUACGAUAUUUAUAUAUUUGAUACACUCUAAAGUGGGGUAUACAUCUUACACCCACUCCAUUCUAAGGCCAUUAAUAUACUUUCGGCCCUUUUAAAUUUCGGUACGUCAACGGAUACAUUUUUUUGGUAGAAAAAUAUUUUGGUUCCUCUUUCCUUGCAUAAAAUAAAUAAUAUAAUAAAAAAUUUUAAUUUUUCUUUAUUUCUAAAAUAGAAAAAAAUUCAUGCUCAUCCAACUUGCGAAUCGGAGGAUAUUUUCUGUGAAUCUAUAUUUUAAUUCAAAAUUUAUUUAAUUCUUCAUUAUCUCUAAAACAGAAAAAAAAAAUCAUACUUAUCCAAAUUUUUAUUGUGAAUCUAUAUUUUAAUUUAAAAUUUAAAAUUUAAAAUUUUGAACUAUCAACAGAUUAUCUCAAAUAGAAAAUAAUUAACUAAUUUGAAAAUAAGCUAAAUUUAAAAGAUAGAUUGAUAUUGAUAAAUAGAUCUGUCUCCAACAACUACUUAUAUUCAAAUUAUUAAAUUGAAAAUAAAUUUGAAAUUUAAAAUUUAAAAUUUUAUUCAUAAAUUUAAAUAUGAAUUUAUUAAUUUAAAAUUUUAAAUUAAUUCAAAUUUUAAAUCAGAUUCAAAUUCAGACAAAAUUUGUAUGUUACUAAAAAGUAUUUAUAAUUUAACUAAAUUGAAAAUAUGUAAAACUUAUUCGGAGAUAAAUUAAAUUUAGAAAAACAUCAAGUAAUAAAUAAAAAAAUACCACCAAUAAUAAUUUAAUUUAAAUUUAAUUUAAUUAAAUAUGACGUAGUAUAGAAAAGCAUGCAUAUAUUAAUAUAUAUUCUAGUAUCGUACGUAAGUAUAAACAACUAAUUUCUAGACAAAGUUCAGUAUAUAUAAACAAGGGGCAAUUGCCUAUAUACCCCUGAAAAGUUUCCGGUUUUCUUAUUUACCGCUCUUAGAAGAUUAAUAUUGAAAAUACCUUCUUAUGUUCCAAGUUUUUCUAAAAUACCCCUGGAGUUAAGUUCCGUUAGUGAGCUGCCGUUAUCUCUGAAAAAUUACCAUUUUGCCCAUUUCAAUAUACCCUUGUACCGUAACAAACUUUUCUUAUAUACCCUUCAUAUAGCAAAUACUUUUCUUAUUUGCCUUUCAGCCGGAUCCGGAGCAGAGGGCGUGCAGGGGUCCGAUGGCGUUGCGGCCCUCUUGCUCCCGGCGCCGGCCAAGGCAGCGGAGGAGAAGAAGGACAAAGAGAACGGCGAGAGAUGGGAUCGUCGCUGCGGCCCUCUUGCUCUCGGCGCCGGCCAAGGCGGCAGAGGAGGUGGACGACGGCGACGACGAGAGCAGCAGUGGAAGAGGACGACGAGAGCGACGAGAGAGGUGGUGUUGGAGGUGGAGGUGUGGGAGGAGAUGAGGCGUGGUGGAGGCGGAGGAGCUGGCCAGUGGUGGCGGAAGAGCCGGCCGGUGGUGGCGACCAAGUUGGGGAAGAAAGAGAGGAUAAUCUUAGGGAUUAGUAUAAUAAGGUAGGGGCAAAAUAGGUAUUUUGUUUAGAUUUUAACUCUAGUAUAAAUUUAGCCCAUGUUUAACCCGAGUUAAGCUAACAGGGGAUAACUGCGAGGGUAUUUUGGAAUAACGGUGGAACAUAUGAGCACAUUUUAGAAAGAAAAAAAAAGAGAGGGGUAGAUCGGAUAUUUCCAAAUGCAUGAAGGGUAUAUA